rnacentral:rRNA from 1 species
AUUGAACGCUGGCGGCAGGCCUAACACAUGCAAGUCGAGCGGAUGAAGGGAGCUUGCUCCUGGAUUCAGCGGCGGACGGGUGAGUAAUGCCUAGGAAUCUGCCUGGUAGUGGGGGAUAACGUCCGGAAACGGGCGCUAAUACCGCAUACGUCCUGAGGGAGAAAGUGGGGGAUCUUCGGACCUCACGCUAUCAGAUGAGCCUAGGUCGGAUUAGCUAGUUGGUGGGGUAAAGGCCUACCAAGGCGACGAUCCGUAACUGGUCUGAGAGGAUGAUCAGUCACACUGGAACUGAGACACGGUCCAGACUCCUACGGGAGGCAGCAGUGGGGAAAAUUGGACAAUGGGCGAAAGCCUGAUCCAGCCAUGCCGCGUGUGUGAAGAAGGUCUUCGGAUUGUAAAGCACUUUAAGUUGGGAGGAAGGGCAGUAAGUUAAUACCUUGCUGUUUUGACGUUACCAACAGAAUAAGCACCGGCUAACUUCGU